AACCAUGAUAUGCUGCUAGGUGUCACUCAUGGUUUGUGGAAGCCCUAAACGUGUGUAAACACUAAAGGGAGAAUUGAAAGUAAGUUUCAAUUCACAAUCGAUGUAAAAUGGUUUUAAUCGCCCACUGCCUCGCUAAAGGGAACCUAAUGGAUUGUACACCGUGUAAGGUGGAGAUUGAAGAAACAAUGGAGAUGAGUAAGAAUAGUUAAAUGGUUUAAUUAUUUAUGGCAAGGAUUAAUUAAUAUGUUAAUUAAUCAAACGAAUAAGUUCGUUAAAGACCUCGGGAUAGUUUUGGACCUUAAGGCCCAAUGGGCUUUGAACGUCAAGCCCAUUGACUUAAGUUGUAUGACAACUUAAUGAAUAAUGAUUCACAAAGGCCUAAAAGGCCCAAUGAAACCCCAAGGCCGGCCAUGAUGCUUUUGGAGUGGGUUUUGGACUUAUUUACAAGUUUGCCACUACAAUGAAUUAAGGUAUAAAUAUGACUUUAUAGCCAAAAUUCAUUUAGGGUUUGUUUUGGAGAAAAUUGGAGAGAACAUGUCU
rnacentral:lncRNA from 1 species